AUUGAACGCUGGCGGAAUGCUUUACACAUGCAAGUCGAGCGGCAGCGCGGGGCAACCUGGCGGCGAGCGGCGAACGGGUGAGUAACAUAUCGGAACGUACCCAGUCGUGGGGGAUAACUAUCCGAAAGGAUAGCUAAUACCGCAUACGACCUGAGGGUGAAAGGGGGGGAUCGCAAGACCUCUCGCGAUUGGAGCGGCCGAUAUCGGAUUAGCUAGUUGGUGAGGUAAAGGCUCACCAAGGCGACGAUCCGUAGCUGGUCUGAGAGGACGACCAGCCACACUGGAACUGAGACACGGUCCAGACUCCUACGGGAGGCAGCAGUGGGGGAAUUUUGGACAAUGGGCGCAAGCCUGAUCCAGCCAUGCCGCGUGCGGGAAGAAGGCCUCGG
rnacentral:rRNA from 1 species